AAUUGGGACAAAUCGAUCCUGCAACCUUCCCACUCGAUAGAGUUUCUGGGCUUCGAUAUAGACGCAAUGCACGGAACACUCAGUUUACCUACCGCGAAAGUAAAACUUAUCAAGAAGGAAAUCCGGAGGACGUUGACUCGACCAGUCUUAACCCUCCGACAGCUAGCCAGGAUAAUUGGCCUGCUCUCUGCCUCUAUACAAGCGAUCUUCCCAGGCCCUCUCCACUACAGAUCCCUGCAACAGCUCAAAGCAACCCACCUACGCUUGGGUCAAUCCUAUUCAGAUUCUGUACCUCUAGACUGCGCGGCAAAAGAGGAACUGGCAUGGUG
rnacentral:lncRNA from 1 species